CACCGCCCCUGGUUAGCACCCGCCUCAGCGUCUCCGCCAUUCGCCGCGUAGCUCUGACCAAUCGGUGGCUCGUUCCCAGCCUUAGUCCCGCCCAGGCCGUGGCCGCAUCGUAGAGACGGGGUUUCACCAUGUUGGCCAGGCUGGUCUCAAACUCCUGACCUCAGAUGAUCCGCCUGUCUUGGCCUCCCAGAGUGCCAGGAUUAUAGGCAUGAGCCACUGUGUCUGGCCUGUCUUCCCAUCUUGACAGAAGAAGAUUUACCAUAGAGGAGAAUCAUGGAGGAAUAUACCUGCCUGCAGAGACAUGGUCUUGCUCUGUCUCCCAGGCUACAGUGCAGUGGCAUCAUCACAGCUCACAACAGUCUCGACUUCCUGGGCUCAAGGGACUCCCAUCUCAGCCUCCUGCAUAGCCGGGACUACAGGUGCGCACCAACAUGCCCAGCUAAUUUUAAAAUAUAUAUAUAUAUAUAUAUUUGUACAGACAGGGGUCUCACUAUGUUGCCCAGGUCAUUCUCCAACUCCUAAGCUCAAGCAAUCCUCUGGCCUUGGCCUCCCAAAGUGUUGGGAUUACAGGUGUGGAGACCAGGCCCCAUUUACCUUGUUUAUUGUCUUACAUAUUAGAAUGCUCACAUCCGUGACAGCAGAGGUUUGUGUCUGUUGUUUACUGCUGUAACCUCCCCCCGCCACAACCCCCACCCUGUGCCUAACUAAA